UACGUAGGGGGCAAGCGUUAUCCGGAUUUACUGGGUGUAAAGGGAGCGUAGACGGCGAGUCAAGUCUGAAGUGAAAUCCCGCGGCUCAACUGCGGAACUGCUUUUGAAACUGUCUUGCUAGAGUGCAGGAGAGGUAAGUGGUAUUCCUAGUGUAGCGGUGAAAUGCGUAGAUAUUAGGAGGAACACCAGUGGCGAAGGCGGCUUACUGGACUGUAACUGACGUUGAGGCUCGAAAGCGUGGGGAGCAAAC
rnacentral:rRNA from 1 species